rnacentral:rRNA from 1 species
ACAGAGGGUGCGAGCGUUAAUCGGAGUUACUGGGCGUAAAGGGUGCGUAGGCGGUAUGAUGUGUGUGAUGUGAAAGCCCCGGGCUUAACCUGGGAAGUGCAUCGCAAACUAUCAAACUAGAGUAUAUGAGAGGGUGGCGGAAUUUCCGGUGUAGCGGUGAAAUGCGUAGAGAUCGGAAGGAACGUCAAUGGCGAAGGCAGCCACCUGGCAUAAUACUGACGCUGAGGCACGAAAGCGUGGGGAGCGAACAGGAUUAGAUACCCUGGUAGUCCACGCUGUAAACGAUGACAACUAGAUGUUGGGAGGGGAACCUUUCAGUAUCGAAGCUAACGCGAUAAGUUGUCCGCCUGGGAAGUACGGCCGCAAGGUUG